AAAGGUAGCGUAAUCAUUAGUUUUUUAAUUGAAAGCUUGUAUGAAUGGUUGGACGAGAUAAAUACUGUCUUUAUUUAAUUUAAUUUAGAAUUUAACUUUUGAGUGAAAAGGCUCAAAUUUAAUUAAUAGACGAGAAGACCCUAUAGAUCUUUAUAAAUUAUUUAUUAAUUAACAUUAGGAUUAUUUAUUAAUUAAUAGUGAUAUUUAUUUUAUUGGGGUAAUAUGAAGAUUUAAUAAAUUCUUUGAUUUUUAUACAAAGAUAAUUGAUUAGUUGAUCCAUUAUUAGUGAUUAUAAGAUUAAGUUACCUUAGGGAUAACAGCGUAAUUUUUUUAGAGAGUUCAUAUCGAUAAAAAAGU
rnacentral:rRNA from 1 species